AAAAUGUUGAAAUUAAAAAAAAAUAUGUUUUAUUCUUACCACAAAACAUAUAAUAUUUUUAGUUUUACUUAUCACUACUGUUUUCUUUAGGAAGUAUUGUACAACAUUUUGAAUGCCAGUCAAUGCCACCACAUGCCACUUGAUUCAACUGGACUGGAUGAUAAUUUUAAAUCCCUAUUUUGGAACAAUGGCACCGCACCUUGACACAUUGGCAUAAUAUCAAAGAGUUUAAUAAAUUUUUCCAAGUCGCUAUUCCCAUGUGUCUAUUACAUCAUGUGUCUUAAAAUGGUUACGACAAACACGAGAAUUAUUACUUAAAGGAAUACCCAAGACAUUUUCCCAUUCAGACCGUAAGACAAUAUUCAAUGGAACUUUGAAGGAACUAAUCUUUGCAUAUUUGUCAUGUGAAGGACAAUUAGGUAUACAACACGACAUUACAACACGACAAACAAUUAAAUAAUUUCAACAAAAUUAAGCAUAAUAUAUUAAAACUUUAUGAAUAAUAACA